rnacentral:rRNA from 1 species
CAGCCGCCGCGGGAAUACGAAGGGUGCAAGCGUUAAUCGGAAUUACUGGGCGUAAAGCGUGCGUAGGCGGUGAGUUAAGUCUGCUGUGAAAUCCCCGGGCUCAACCUGGGAAUGGCAGUGGAUACUGGCUCGCUAGAGUGUGUCAGAGGAUGGUGGAAUUCCCGGUGUAGCGGUGAAAUGCGUAGAGAUCGGGAGGAACAUCAGUGGCGAAGGCGGCCAUCUGGGACAACACUGACGCUGAGGCACGAAAGCGUGGGGAGCAAACAGGAUUAGAGACCCCGGUAGUCCCUGUCUCUUAUAC